CAAAAGGUGAAGAGACACAUUUUACUACAGUGCUCAUUUUGGAAUAAACAAGGAGUGGUGUCUUCCAUCAGACCUUCCCUUCAAAAAGGGAACUGGAAAUAGUAAGUCAUUUCUGUUAUAAUGCAUGGACCACAAAUACAGUGGGAACAGGGAAGAAAUGGAUGCUCUCAUGUUCUAGAUACAAUCAUGAUAGUCUUUUCCCAUCAAUUGUUUCCCAAACCAGCAUGGAGAUGAUCUGUAUCCAGUCUGAAAGGGCCGCAUCUCUUCUUUCUAAGAGAACUUAUAAAAUUACUGUGAGAAAUCAUUCCUUCUUAUAAAAGACACAAGUCAACAACUUCACUCUUUUAAUUAGUUGUCAAGCCUGGAAGUAAAUACUGCCCACCACUUCUGUCCAAAUUCUUUGGAUAAUAUUCAGCGACAUCAACCCCACUCACCACAAUGAGAGGAUGAGAAAUGUUGGGUCAGUGAAAUCCCAAGAGUUAAGAAUGGUCUCCCAUUUCACCUAGUUUACCUCUGCAAUGGAUUUCUCAGUAUAAUUUCCACAGCUAUAAAUUUUGAUAAAGAUUUUCCUACAGUGGAUUCCUUUCCUCUGCGAGUGUUCUAAUGUUUGCUGAAGGUUGACUUCUGGUUGAAAGACUUCUUCUAAAGUUUACAUUUACAGAGUUUCAAUCAUGUGUUCAGGUAUCUCAUACCUGUAGAGAUGUGACUUCUGGGUAAAUGUUUUACUACAUUGAUUAUACUCAGUUUCUUUCCUGUGUGUGUUCUUAGAUGCAUUGAGGCCGACUUCUAACUAAAAGUCUCUGUGUAACUGUUGUAUUCAUU